UAGGAGCGCCCCUGUGAGCCACCAGUCGUCGUUUGAGCGUGGCGGUGACGGUGAGCCGACCAGACAGGCGUCGCUGGAGGACGGCAGGGACAGAAGGCCUACUGUCCUGGCAGGAGACGGAGAGGGUUCGACCAGACCUAAGAAGGUGACUCUGGAGUACUGCGACAGCGAGAGUUCUACAGAGGAGGUUUCACAGAGCGCCGGCAGUGCAACAACCAUAGAGGAAACCAAGAAGAGAAAAACUGCCACAGUGCUGGUACUGCACCUGUCAGAUGUUGGGUUGGAAUUGUCGAAUCACCAGCGGGACAACUUCACCAAACUAUAGGG